AUUGAACGCUGGCGGCAGGCUUAACACAUGCAAGUCGAGCGGAGAUGAGGUGCUUGCACCUUAUCUUAGCGGCGGACGGGUGAGUAAUGCUUAGGAAUCUGCCAUUUAGUGGGGGACAACAUUCCGAAAGGAAUGCUAAUACCGCAUACGUCCUUCGGGAGAAAGCAGGGGAUCUUCGGACCUUGCGCUAAAUGAUGAGCCUAGGUCGGAUUAGCUAGUUGGUGGGGUAAAGGCCUACCAAGGCGACGAUCUGUAGCGGGUCUGAGAGGAUGAUCCGCCACACUGGGACUGAGACACGGCCCAGACUCCUACGGGAGGCAGCAGUGGGGAAUAUUGGACAAUGAGCGGAAGCCUGAUCCAGCCAUGCCGCGUGUGUGAAGAAGGCCUUUUGGUUGUAAAGCACUUUAAGCGAGGAGGAGGCUACCUGGAUUAAUACUCUGGGAUAGUGGACGUUACUCGCAGAAUAAGCACCGGCUAACUCUGUGCCAGCCGCCGCCGUAAAAC
rnacentral:rRNA from 1 species